GACGAACGCUGGCGGCGUGCUUAACACAUGCAAGUCGAACGGAAAGGCCCUGCUUUUGUGGGGUGCUCGAGUGGCGAACGGGUGAGUAACACGUGAGUAACCUGCCCUUGACUUUGGGAUAACUUCAGGAAACUGGGGCUAAUACCGGAUAGGAGCUCCUGCUGCAUGGUGGGGGUUGGAAAGUUUCGGCGGUUGGGGAUGGACUCGCGGCUUAUCAGCUUGUUGGUGGGGUAGUGGCUUACCAAGGCUUUGACGGGUAGCCGGCCUGAGAGGGUGACCGGCCACAUUGGGACUGAGAUACAGCCCAGACUCCUACGGGAGGCAGCAGUGGGGAAUAUUGCACAAUGGGCGGAAGCCUGAUGCAGCAACGCCGCGUGCGGGAUGACGGCCUUCGGGUUGUAAACCGCUUCCGCCUGUGACGAAGCGUGAGUGACGGUAAUGGGUAAAGAAGCACCGGCUAACUACGUGCCAGCAGCCGCGGUGAUACGUAGGGUGCGAGCGUUGUCCGGAUUUAUUGGGCGUAAAGGGCUCGUAGGUGGUUGAUCGCGUCGGAAGUGUAAUCUUGGGGCUUAACCCUGAGCGUGCUUUCGAUACGGGUUGACUUGAGGAAGGUAGGGGAGAAUGGAAUUCCUGGUGGAGCGGUGGAAUGCGCAGAUAUCAGGAGGAACACCAGUGGCGAAGGCGGUUCUCUGGGCCUUUCCUGACGCUGAGGAGCGAAAGCGUGGGGAGCGAACAGGCUUAGAUACCCUGGUAGUCCACGCUGUAAACGGUGGGUACUAGGUGUGGGGUCCAUUCCACGGGUUCCGUGCCGUAGCUAACGCUUUAAGUACCCCGCCUGGGGAGUACGGCCGCAAGGCUAAAACUCAAAGGAAUUGACGGGGCCCCGCACAAGCGGCGGAGCAUGCGGAUUAAUUCGAUGCAACGCGUAGAACCUUACCUGGGUUUGACAUGGAUCGGGAGUGCUCAGAGAUGGGUGUGCCUCUUUUGGGGUCGGUUCACAGGUGGUGCAUGGCUGUCGUCAGCUCGUGUCGUGAGAUGUUGGGUUAAGUCCCGCAACGAGCGCAACCCUUGUUCACUGUUGCCAGCACGUUAUGGUGGGGACUCAGUGGAGACCGCCGGGGUCAACUCGGAGGAAGGUGGGGAUGACGUCAAGUCAUCAUGCCCCUUAUGUCCAGGGCUUCACGCAUGCUACAAUGGCUGGUACAGAGAGUGGCGAGCCUGUGAGGGUGAGCGAAUCUCGGAAAGCCGGUCUCAGUUCGGAUUGGGGUCUGCAACUCGACCUCAUGAAGUCGGAGUCGCUAGUAAUCGCAGAUCAGCAACGCUGCGGUGAAUACGUUCCCGGG
rnacentral:rRNA from 1 species